UACGGGGGGAGCAAGCGUUGUUCGGAUUUACUGGGCGUAAAGGGCGCGUAGGCGGCGCAACAAGUCACUUGUGAAAUCUCCGGGCUUAACCCGGAGCGGCCAAGUGAUACUGUCGUGCUAGAGUGCGGAAGGGGCUACUGGAAUUCUCGGUGUAGCGGUGAAAUGCGUAGAUAUUCGGAAGAACACCAGUGGCGAAGGCGGCUCACUGGACUGGUAUUGACGCUGAGGUGCGAAAGCGUGGGGAGCAAACAGG
rnacentral:rRNA from 1 species